UUUAAAAUUUUGAAGACUUCAACUUACAGACUUGAAGAAUUUGAAGACUUCAGUUUGUAUACUAGGCUGGAUUUAAAGAAACU
rnacentral:pre_miRNA from 1 species